rnacentral:rRNA from 1 species
CCUUCUUUCCUCCCGAGUGCUUGCACUCAAUUGGAAAGAGGAGUGGCGGACGGGUGAGUAACACGUGGGUAACCUACCCAUCAGAGGGGGAUAACACUUGGAAACAGGUGCUAAUACCGCAUAACAGUUUAUGCCGCAUGGCAUAAGAGUGAAAGGCGCUUUCGGGUGUCGCUGAUGGAUGGACCCGCGGUGCAUUAGCUAGUUGGUGAGGUAACGCUCACCAAGGCACGAUGCAUAGCCGACCUGAGAGGGUGAUCGCCACACUGGGACUGAGACACGGCCCAGCUCCUACGGGAGGCAGCAGUGGGAAUCUUCGGCAAUGGACGAAAGUCUGACCGAGCAACGCCGCGUGAGGAAGAAGGUUUUCGGAUCGUAAAACUCUGUUGUUAGAGAAGAACAAGGACGUUAGUAACGAACGUCCCCUGACGGUAUCUAACAGAAAGCCACGGCUAACUACGUGCCAGCAGCCCGGUAAUACGUAGGUGGCAAGCGUUGUCCGGAUUUAUUGGGCGUAAAGCGAGCGCAGGCGGUUUCUUAAGUCUGAUGUGAAAGCCCCCGGCUCACCGGGGAGGGUCAUUGGAAACUGGGAGACUUGAGUGCAGAAGAGGAGAGUGGAAUUCCAUGUGUAGCGGUAAAUGCGUAGAUAUAUGGAGGAACACCAGUGGCGAAGGCGGCUCUCUGGUCUGUAACUGACGCUGANGCUCGAAAGCGUGGGGAGCAAACAGGAUUAGAUACCCUGGUAGUCCACGCCGUAAACGAUGAGUGCUAAGUGUUGGAGGGUUUCCGCCCUUCAGUGCUGCAGCAAACGCAUUAAGCACUCCGCCUGGGGAGUACGACCGCAAGGUUGAAACUCAAAGGAAUUGACGGGGGCCCGCACAAGCGGUGGAGCAUGUGGUUUAAUUCGAAGCAACGCGAAGA